rnacentral:rRNA from 1 species
GAUGAACGCUGGCGGCGUGCCUAAUACAUGCAAGUCGAGCGAACGGACGAGAAGCUUGCUUCUCUGAUGUUAGCGGCGGAAGGAUGAGGAACACAUGGAUAACCGACAUAUAAACCUGAGAUAACAUCGGGAACCCGGAGCUCAUAGGGGGUAAUAUUUUAAACCGAAUGGGUCCAAAGAGGAAGACGGUCUUGCUGACACUGAUGGAUGGACCCGAGCUGCAUUAGCUAGUUGGUAAGGUAACGGCUUACCAAGGCAACGAGGCAUAGCCGACCGGAGAGGGUGUUCGGCCACACUGGAACUGAGACACGGUCCAGACUCCGACGGGAGGCCGCAGUAGGGAAUCUUCCGCAAUGGGCGAAAGCCUGACGGAGCAACGCCGCGUGAGUGAUGAAGGUCUUCGGAUCGUAAAACUCUGUUAUUAGGGAAGAACAUAUGUGUAAGUAACUGUGCACAUCUUGACGGUACCUAAUCAGAAAGCCACGGCUAACUACGUG